GACGAACGCUGGCGGCGUGCUUAACACAUGCAAGUCGAGCGGAAAGGCCACUUCGGUGGUACUCGAGCGGCGAACGGGUGAGUAACACGUGAGUAAUCUGCCCCUGGCUUUGGGCUAGCCACCGGAAACGGUGAUUAAUACCGGAUACGACCACUUCUCGCAUGGGAUGGAGGUGGCACGUUUUUUCGGCCAGGGAUGUGCUCGCGGCCUAUCAGCUUGAUGGUGAGGUAAUGGCUCACCAUGGCUUCGACGGGUAGCCGGCCUGAGAGGGUAACCGGUCACACUGGGACUGAGACACGGCCCAGACUCCUACGGGAGGCAGCAGUGGGGAAUAUUGGACAAUGGGCGGAAGCCUGAUCCAGCAACGCCGCGUGAGGGAUGACGGCCUUCGGGUUGUAAACCUCUUUCAGCAGGGACGAAGCGCAAGUGACGGUACCUGCAGAAGAAGCACCGGCCAACUACGUGCCAGCAGCCGCGGUAA
rnacentral:rRNA from 1 species